rnacentral:ncRNA from 1 species
GAAAUUACGAUGAUCAGAAUAGUAAGUGAAUAAAUCUAUUUUAGAGAGUUUCCGGUUGGUGAGAGGAAAUAAUAGGUCUUCACUGAACAAACCUGUAAGUAGUUUUUCCCAGCUGUCUUUUUGUAGAAGUAGUGGUUCCAUUUUUCUACAUAGUUAAGAAAAAUCGGUUGAGCCCGUUAUAACUUGUAGUCUUUUUGACUAACAGAGUCUUUUGCUGUGAAGUAAAAGUAAAUCUGAGGUGGGACCACGUGAAAAUAAUUCUCGUCCUCUUG